rnacentral:rRNA from 1 species
UACGUAGGGUGCGAGCGUUUAAUCGGAAUUACUGGGCGUAAAGCGUGCGCAGGCGGUUCGUUAUGUCCGUUGUGAAAGCCCCGGGCUCAACCUGGGAAUGGCAAUGGAAACUGGCGGGCUAGAGUGUGGCAGAGGGGGGGUGGGAAUUCCGCGUGUAGCAGUGAAAUGCGUAGAGAUGCGGAGGAACACCGAUGGCGAAGGCAGCCCCCCUGGGCUGACACUGACGCUCAGGCACGAAAGCGUGGGGAGCAAACAGG